rnacentral:rRNA from 1 species
GAUGAACGCUGGCGGCGUGCCUAAUACAUGCAAGUCGAGCGAACAGACGAGGAGCUUGCUCCUCUGACGUUAGCGGCGGACGGGUGAGUAACACGUGGAUAACCUACCUAUAAGACUGGGAUAACUUCGGGAAACCGGAGCUAAUACCGGAUAAUAUAUUGAACCGCAUGGUUCAAUAGUGAAAGACGGUUUUGCUGUCACUUAUAGAUGGAUCCGCGCCGCAUUAGCUAGUUGGUAAGGUAACGGCUUACCAAGGCAACGAUGCGUAGCCGACCUGAGAGGGUGAUCGGCCACACUAGAGCUGAGACACGGACCAGACUCCUGCGGGAGGCAGCAGUAGGGAAUCUUCCGCAAUGGGCGAAAGCCUGACGGAGCAACGCCGCGUGAGUGAUGAAGGUCUUCGGAUCGUAAAACUCUGUUAUUAGGGAAGAACAAAUGUGUAAGUAACUAUGCACGUCUUGACGGUACCUAAUCAGAAAGCCACGGCUAACUACGUG